rnacentral:lncRNA from 1 species
GUACAGGCGCCCAAAUCUUUAAAUAGCGUUCGCGAGCGGCGACUUUCUCCUGCGUUGGCGCCUUAU